rnacentral:lncRNA from 1 species
GGCGUAUCAGGACGGCGUUUUCUGUCUCUUGGUGCAGUCCAGGUGAAACGGGCGCGCUCGGAGUUUUGGUGGUGCAAGCCCGCAUCGUUUUGGUAUCGUUGUCUGUCUGUGUUUGUCGUUUCGUGUCCCCGCUUAGCCUGUUUCCCGAACAGGGGGCGGCGGUCGAGUUUUUGAUCGCCGGUCCGUCUCUCCUCGGCAAUCGCGUUCAGAAAAAGCCAGGGAAGACAAACAGCAGAGAACGCGAGAGGAAUGGAGAAGAGGGAGCGACGACGGAAAAGGGAGCGAGAAUCAAGCGAACGCGGGAGUGGACAGAAAGCAAGCAGAAGCUGUAUCUCGCGCUCUCCAGUCGCCGGUGAGGCAGAACAGAGAGGAGACAGAGAGGGUGGGGGGCGAGAGAGGAAAAGGUGAACAGCGAAGGAAGGGCAACUCGUGAGUUCUUUCAUGAAACGCAGGACACAUCCCUCUGUCGCGGUACGCUUUCUCGUUUCUCUGCAGCUCUUUUUGAAGGGAUUCUCGAGUCGAGAGACUCCCCUCUCUCGGGCUCCCUCAAUGUGUCUCUGUCUCUUCAGUCCCCUCUCUCCAUUUCGGAUUUUUUCUCUCUUCCAGUUUCCUCCUCGGCUUCUCUGUGGCCUCCACCCUCGGUACCUUCUCCAUUUCUCGCGCCCAUCCUUCACCCGCUUGUUGCUGCGCCGUAGUCGAAUCGCUGAGUCUCUCGUGUCCCCCCUGGCGCUUCAUCUUAGGUGGCGGUCAACACCGUUGAGAAGAAUGCGAAAAAGCUCCUGCAGUGCAUGCAGCGAGAGCUAGGCCAACGCGCUCCGACACUUCUUCCCGUCCAAGCAAAACUUCAGCAUCUCGUGGAAGUUAGUUUCUCCCCGACGCCUGGUCUCGUCUGAAGUGCCUGAACUUGUCGAAACUCGAACUCUCCGUUUUACGUUUUCCACCCGGUUUCAGGGCGCUUUAGAAACCCGUUUAGCCCGUCUUUGCAGGU